GUAGAGGCAGUUUUGUGUAUGGUUGUUUUCUCUGAAGACUCUGUAAAAAUGUCAUGUUCUUUAAGUCUGUGUGAAAAGAUAGGAAGAGCAC